rnacentral:rRNA from 1 species
UACGUAGGGUGCGAGCGUUGUCCGGAAUUACUGGGCGUAAAGGGCGCGUAGGCGGAUGGCACAGUCAGAUGUGAAAUUCCCGGGCUUAACCUGGGGGCUGCAUUUGAUACGUGUGAUCUAGAGUGAGGAAGAGGGUCGUGGAAUUCCCAGUGUAGAGGUGAAAUUCGUAGAUAUUGGGAAGAACACCGGUGGCGAAGGCGGCGACCUGGUCCUUGACUGACGCUGAGGCGCGAAAGCGUGGGGAGCAAACAGG